AACGAGGCCGACCUGCGGCUGAGUUACCUGCGGAGGGAUCAUUACCGAGUUUACAACUCCCAAACCCCUGUGAACAUACCACUUGUUGCCUCGGCGGAUCAGCCCGCUCCCGGUAAAACGGGACGGCCCGCCAGAGGACCCCUAAACUCUGUUUCUAUAUGUAACUUCUGAGUAAAACCAUAAAUAAAUCAAAACUUUUAGCAACGGAUCU
rnacentral:misc_RNA from 1 species